AACUUCUGUCCUUUUCUCUGCUCACUGUGUUCUAUUUAAUGACACACCAUCAGGAAGACUACUGCUGAUUAGUGCUUUAAGGAUCUGGCAUGUACAAUCGCAAAGGCAGUUUCUCCAAACAUCUCUGUCCGAAGAAUCCAUUUGGACAUCUGGAGGAGGAAAAGGGGACAAAUCACAGAACAAGGCUGGCAUCAUCCUAGAGGCUAUGGCAUUCUCUGCUGACCUAUGAGAACUCACAUGGCAGAAUGAUUAUGGCAAAUCCUCACAGACA